UACGAGGGGGGCAAGCGUUGUUCGGAAUUAUUGGGCGUAAAGGGUGCGUAGGCGGUCUGACAAGUCUGAUGUGAAAUCUAUGGGCUCAACCCAUAGUCUGCAUCGGAAACUGUCGGGCUGGAGUAUGGGAGAGGUGAGUGGAAUUUCCGGUGUAGCGGUGAAAUGCGUAGAGUAUCGGAAGGAACACCUGUGGCGAAAGCGGCUCACUGGACC
rnacentral:rRNA from 1 species